rnacentral:tRNA from 3 species
GGGGAGGUUCCCGAGUGGUCAAAGGGGGCAGACUGUAAAUCUGUUACUUCGGUUUCGAAGGUUCAAAUCCUUCUCUCCCCA